rfam:Triticum aestivum genome assembly, contig: Triticum_aestivum_CS42_TGACv1_scaffold_306607_4AS
GAAAUACUUUCUCCGUCCAGAAAUACUUGUUAGAGAAAUAGAUAUAUCUAGAUGUAUUUUAGUUAUAAAUAGAUUCAUUUUUAUCCAUUUCUUCGAUAUGUAUUUUUGGACGGAGGGAGUACUUG